CAAUCUUGGAAGAGAAGGGAGAGGAGUAUGUGUGAAAUGGGGCAUUCUCCGUUUUUAAUCGCAUGCCAUCCGCAUGUUUUUCAUUGUAAUUCAAUAAAACCGACUUUAAACACGAUAUUAUUUUUUAUCGUCCAAUUGACUGAUGGCGAAGAAGAUCUAAAACAUGGCUGAAUGAUUAAAGAGAGAUUUAACCUUUGUUUGAUUCUUCUGCUGUGAUGGGUCCCUUAGUACAUUUUGAUUAAGGAAGGAUGCUUUAUAUAUUGCUGCUGUGACCAGUGGAUGGAAGAUCUGUAGGAUUUCAGAAGUCAGCUUGGCCUAUUCAGGUUCAUCGUGAAGGUGCAUCAUUUGCCGUUUACCUUUUGUGACGCAGGGAGUGUGGUUCAAUUUUGAAGAAAGUCGUCUUCUGGCAUUUAGCCUGGAACUUUAUUGGGAAAACUGUUAGAAGCCCAGUGGUUUCCUGUUAAAGUGUACAAGGAUUCAAUAACCUCCUACUCAACUGGACAGUGUACUUGUAAAUUCAGUUUUUUUUUGUGUGCUCUUAAUUCAUAUUAUGGCCUCCUAGGAGUUGUCUGGAUAGUCCUAAUGUUCUAGAGAAAAAAAAAAUUAUGGACAUUAUGUAGUAGAAAAACAGACGGAACAUAACACUUUAUGAAAAAAGCUUAUUGUACACAUUUUGAAAUAAAACUUAGUAACCAGGACAAACAGUGGGCCCCUUAAUUUGUCUGCUCCAUUUAUGUUGAAGACUGUGGACAAAAAGUAAGAAGGUGCUUGCUUUUGUUGUUCCAAUGAUAGGGAGGGAAACCAAAAAUCAUAGUAACGAUUGUUUCUGUUCCUGCAAAACUCAAGGAAAUAGUUUAUCCAACUCUUCCUUCAGCAAUAAGACCUGUACCACAUGGACCUGGUAUACUAAUCUCAACUCCACCUGACAGUCUUAAUUCUGUAGAAACUCGCCAAAAGAGUGAAAAUACUACAACUGAUGAAUUUGUCCCAGCAUGUUGAAGCAAUGAGCCGUGACUAUUUCAUGCAUGAUGAACAUCGUGAUUUAGUAAGAGAUCUAGGCCUUCCCAUAGAUAAUGCAGUGCUCUUGGAGACCUGAUUAAAAUCUUGUUGCAUCCAGACACACCUUUCUCUUGGCACUGCUAUAGAGAAGAAGAGUUUGCAGCAUAUUUCAAGAACGAUGAGUUCUUGUUUUAUUUUCUGACACAAGUGGCCUAAUGCAGAAACUUGGCAGCGCCGAAGAAUAGAGAAUAUUUAUAGCCUUCUCUAAAAGUAGUAGUAGUAGUUAAUAACAGUAAUACACAUCCGCACACGUUGCAUUUUCUAUGCUUUGAAAAUCUCAAGCAAAUUAAAGUGUACCAGGGAGGUUGGGAUGUCAGUAUGAUCAGACUACUGCUAGAUGGUGCAUAGGGCCACAUCAGAGAGUGUAUAAAAUGACUGGCCAUCAAAUAACAUUUUGGAUCAGAAAUCAAAGUUAAACUAGACAAGUGUGUAUUUAUUUAUUUUGUAUUUAUUUAUUUUGUGCAAAAAAAAACUUUAGGCAAAUUUCAUAUUAAAAUGACUUAGAUCAAUAUUGUGUAUGAAUGAAUAAAUUGUAAUUAAGUCUAUUCAAUUUUGUACUUGUUUCAUGUGAUGGAACUUUUUUUGUUCAUGAAUACAAAUAAAAACUUCACUAUUAAAACGA